rnacentral:rRNA from 1 species
UACAGAGGAGCCAAGCGUUGUCCGGAUUGACUGGGCGUAAAGCGCACGCAGGCGGGUGCGCGCGUGGGGGGUGAAAUCUGGCCGCUUAACGGCCAGGCGCCAUCCCAUACGGCGCGCCUGGAGCCUUGCAGAGGUCGGUGGAAUUGCCGGUGUAGUGGUGAAAUGCGUAGAUAUCGGGAGGAACACCAGUGGCGAAGGCGACUACCUGGCCUGUUCUUGACGCUGAGGCGCGAAAGCUAGGGGAGCAAACGGG